ACGCUGGCGGCAUGCCUAACACAUGCAAGUCGAACGGGUUGUACUUCGGUACAGCUAGUGGCGGACGGGUGAGUAACACAUAGGAAUCUGCCCGAGAGUGGGGGAUAACCCAGGGAAACUUGGAUUAAUACCGCAUGAUCUCUACGGAGCAAAGCUGGGGACCUUCGGGCCUGGCGCUUUUGGAGGAGCCUAUGUCUGAUUAGCUUGUUGGUGAGGUAACGGCUCACCAAGGCGACGAUCAGUAACUGGUCUGAGAGGACGACCAGUCACACCGGAACUGAGACACGGUCCGGACUCCUACGGGAGGCAGCAGUGGGGAAUAUUGGACAAUGGGCGAAAGCCUGAUCCAGCAAUGCCGCGUGUGUGAAGAAGGCCUUCGGGUUGUAAAGCACUUUAGGAUGGAAAGAAAAAACUUCAGUUAAUAGCUGAAGUCUUGACGGUACCAUCAGAAUAAGCACCGGCUA
rnacentral:rRNA from 1 species